rnacentral:misc_RNA from 1 species
AAAAAACGUACUCCCUCCAGAAAAAAAAAGACAAACAAACCCUGAUUUUCGUGUACAACGUUUGACUAUCCGUCUUAUAUAAUUUUUUUUAUAAUUAGUAUUUUCAUUGUUGUUAGAUGAUAAAACAUGAUUAAUAUUUUAUACAUGACUUGUCUUUUUUAAUUUUUUUCAUAAUUUUUUCAAAUAAGAUGGAUGGUUAAAUGUUGGACUCGGAAACCCAGGGUUUGUCUGUUUUUUUAGGAUGGAGGGAGUAUUGCGCU